GUGUCAGCCGCCGCGGUAAAACGUAGGUGGCGAGCGUUAUCCGGAUUUACUGGGCGUAAAGAGCUUGUAGGCGGUCUUGUAAGUUGGGCGUGAAAGCCCCGGGCUUAACUCGGGGAGGCCGUUCAAUACUGCAGGGCUAGAGGAUGUCAGAGGGAGAUGGAAUACCUGGUGUAGCAGUGAAAUGCGUAGAUAUCAGGUGGAACACCCGUGGCGAAGGCGGUCUCCUGGGGCACUCCUGACGCUGAGAAGCGAAAGCUAGGGGAGCGAACGGGAUUAGAAACCCUCGUAGUCC
rnacentral:rRNA from 1 species